ensembl:misc_RNA 7SK 7SK RNA
GGAUGUGUGGGUGAUCUUGCUGCAAUAUCUGUCAUCCCACUGAUCGCCAGGGUUGAUUCAGCUGAUCUGGCUGGGUAGGCGGGUGUCCCCUUCCUUCCUCACCACUCCAUGUGCAUCCCUCCCAAAGCUGUGCCUUCUGGAAUAGAGACCGACCAGUCUUCGGUUGAGGGUAUAUGAGUAGCUGUGAUCCCCUGCUAGAACCUCCAAACAAGCUCUCAAGAAUAGGAAAGCUAUCAGGAGAGGUGAUAGGAUAUGGAGUUCUGGGGUGAGACUUGUACCCCUCUUA